UGCAUGCCUUGUGUGGUGCUUCAUGUCACCAAAGCUCAUACUUUGAAUUGAAAUUUCUGGGUUGUUAAUGUAUUCAACAUGUAUCAGAUGAUAACUCGAUGUGAAUUUUGGGGUACAAAUUAUGCUUGUCCAUAUUUGUCAGUUCUCGUAACAUGUGCACUUGUUAUGUAAGAGACCAUUAUACUAUCUGACCAAAAUUCCUUCCUUUUUUCUCAUGAAAGCAGAAAGUGGCAAGCCAAUCCUGGGAAUGACCUGCAUGUUUGAGUAAAGUCUCAGGCAAUAAAUCUGAUAAGAAGUCCGCUACGAAGCAACCUCAGAGCCCCAAAGAGCAGCCAAAGAAAGGUGAUCAGAAAGGAGAUGAUAGCAAAAAGCAAGGAGG